rnacentral:rRNA from 1 species
GUUUUUGUUUGGAGAGUUUGAUCCUGGCUCAGGACGAACGCUGGCGGCGUGCUUAACACAUGCAAGUCGAACGGAAAGGCCCUUCGGGGUACUCGAGUGGCGAACGGGUGAGUAACACGUGGGUGAUCUGCCCUGCACUUUGGGAUAAGCCUGGGAAACUGGGUCUAAUACCGGAUAGGACCACGCGCUUCAUGGUGUGUGGUGGAAAGCUUUUGCGGUGUGGGAUGGGCCCGCGGCCUAUCAGCUUGUUGGUGGGGUAAUGGCCUACCAAGGCGACGACGGGUAGCCGGCCUGAGAGGG